CUCUCGGUGGCCGAGGCGAAGACGGCGAUCUCGGUGACGCCGAGGUCGAGCGCCCGUUCCAGGCCGCGCAGGUUCGGAACCAGUACGGGAUACC
rnacentral:tRNA from 1 species